rnacentral:misc_RNA from 1 species
AGAGAGAAGAUGAUUCUGUUGCAGUCGAGAAUUGGUUGAACAGAACAGGCAGAGUCCUAAAACAACUUCACUGCACCCCAGAGCAGAACUUAGAAGCUGCUAUAUCCUUGUUACAAGACGAUGCCUACGGAUGGUGGGACACUGUAUCCAGUGAAGUGCAGCCAGAAGCUAUAACUUGGGAUUUCUUUCUCUCCGAAUUUAAGAAGAAAUAUGUGGGUACUGUA